rfam:Macaca mulatta chromosome 5, whole genome shotgun sequence.
GCCAGGCGUGGUGACUCACGCCUGUAAUCCCAGUACUGUGGGAGGCUGAGGUGGGUGGAUCACCUGUGGUCAGGAGUUCGAGACCAGCCUGGCCAACAUGGUGAAACCCUGUCUCUA